AGAGUUUGAUUCUGGCUCAGGAUGAACGCUAGCGACAGGCUUAACACAUGCAAGUCGAGGGGCAGCACGGGAGUAGCAAUACUUGGUGGCGACCGGCGCACGGGUGAGUAACGCGUAUGCAACCUACCUAUCAGAGGGGAAUAACCCGGCGAAAGUCGGACUAAUACCGCAUAAAACAGGGGCACCGCAUGGUGAUAUUUGUUAAAGAAAUUCGCUGAUAGAUGGGCAUGCGUUCCAUUAGGUAGUUGGUGAGGUAACGGCUCACCAAGCCGACGAUGGAUAGGGGAACUGAGAGGUUGGUCCCCCACACUGGUACUGAGACACGGACCAGACUCCUACGGGAGGCAGCAGUGAGGAAUAUUGGUCAAUGGGCGGGAGCCUGAACCAGCCAAGUCGCGUGAAGGAAGAAGGAUCUAUGGUUCGUAAACUUCUUUUGCAGGGGAAUAAAGUGCAGGACGUGUCCUGUUUUGUAUGUACCCUGAGAAUAAGGAUCGGCUAACUCCGUGCCAGCCGCCGC
rnacentral:rRNA from 1 species